rnacentral:rRNA from 1 species
AAAGCUUACCAUGCAGUCUACUUGAUCCUUCGGGUGAAGGUGGCGGACGGGUGAGUAACGCGUAAAGAACUUGCCUUACAGACUGGGACAACAUUUGGAAACGAAUGCUAAUACCGGAUAUUAUGACUGAGUCGCAUGAUUUGGUUAUGAAAGCUAUAUGCGCUGUGAGAGAGCUUUGCGUCCCAUUAGUUAGUUGGUGAGGUAACGGCUCACCAAGACGAUGAUGGGUAGCCGGCCUGAGAGGGUGAACGGCCACAAGGGGACUGAGACACGGCCCUUACUCCUACGGGAGGCAGCAGUGGGGAAUAUUGGACAAUGGACCAAAAGUCUGAUCCAGCAAUUCUGUGUGCACGAUGAAGUUUUUCGGAAUGUAAAGUGCUUUCAGUUGGGAAGAAGUCAGUGACGGUACCAACAGAAGAAGCGACGGCUAAAUACGUGCCAGCAGCCGCGGUAAUACGUAUGUCGCAAGCGUUAUCCGGAAUUUAUUGGGCGUAAAGCGCGUCUAGGCGGUUUAGUAAGUCUGAUGUGAAAAUGCGGGGCUCAACCCCGUAUUGCGUUGGAAAACUGUUAAACUAGAGUACUGGAGAGGUAGGCGGAACUACAAGUGUAGAGGUGAAAUUCGUAGAUAUUUGUAGGAAUGCCGAUGGGGAAGCCAGCCUACUGGACAGAUACUGACGCUAAAGCGCGAAAGCGUGGGUAGCAAACAGGAUUAGAUACCCUGGUAGUCCACGCCGUAAACGAUGAUUACUAGGUGUUGGGGGUCGAACCUCAGCGCCCAAGCUAACGCGAUAAGUAAUCCGCCUGGGGAGUACGUACGCAAGUAUGAAACUCAAAGGAAUUGACGGGGACCCGCACAAGCGGUGGAGCAUGUGGUUUAAUUCGACGCAACGCGAGGAACCUUACCAGCGUUUGACAUCCCAAGAAGUUAACAGAGAUGUUUUCGUGCCUCUUCGGAGGAACUUGGUGACAGGUGGUGCAUGGCUGUCGUCAGCUCGUGUCGUGAGAUGUUGGGUUAAGUCCCGCAACGAGCGCAACCCCUUUCGUAUGUUACCAUCAUUAAGUUGGGGACUCAUGCGAGACUGCCUGCGAUGAGCAGGAGGAAGGUGGGGAUGACGUCAAGUCAUCAUGCCCCUUAUACGCUGGGCUACACACGUGCUACAAUGGGUAGUACAGAGAGCUGCAAACCUGCGAGGGUAAGCUAAUCUCAUAAAACUAUUCUUAGUUCGGAUUGUACUCUGCAACUCGAGUACAUGAAGUUGGAAUCGCUAGUAAUCGCAAAUCAGCUAUGUUGCGGUGAAUACGUUCUCGGGUCUUGUACACACCGCCCGUCACACCACGAGAGUUGGUUGCACCUGAAGUAACAGGCCUAACCGUAAGGAGGGAUGUUCCGAGGGGUU